UUUUUUUUUUAGACCCACAGAUAUUCAAACAAGAUGAAAGAUUUUAUGAACUAAAAGGAACACAGCAUAUGACACCAAAAACUACCCAAGACCCUUUUUCCGUUACCAUAUUCAAUUUCAGGAAUAAAACUCAACAUCUUUAAAAUAAUCAUCAAAUUUUCUGACAUGCCACUCCCGGAGGAAGAACAAUGUGGUAUCUACAGGAAAACAUCCAGCAAAUACAGUAUCUCAUGCACAGUAAAAGAAUGAAAGGCUAUGAAUUGACAAAAAGCAGCUAAAGACAAAAACAGUUUCAUAAUUACCAUUUGUCCAAAGUCAAUCUCUGAGCUAAAACACAAUGUUUUUUAUGUUUCUCUACUUAUAACAAAAUUUCGGGAAAAAACUCAGAAAAAAAAUUGGUACACCAAUACUACCACUGUUUUAUGAUCUCUGUGAGAAUUUAACAGUUUAAAAAAGCACAUGGCUGGACACAGUGGCUCAUGCCUGUAAUCCUAACACUCUGGGAGGCCAAGGCAAGAAGACAGCUUGAGCCCAGGAUUUUAAGACCAGCUUGAGCAACAUAGUGAGACUGUGGCUCUACAAAAAAACUUAAAAAUUAGCUGGUCAUGGUGAUGCAUACCUGUAAUCCCAGCUACUGUGGAGGCUGAGGUGGGAGGACUGUUUGUACUUAGGAGGUCAAGGCUGCAGCAUGCUGUGAUUUCACCACUGCAUUUCAACCUGAGCAACAAGUAGGACCCUGUCUCAAAAAAAUAUAUGAAAUACAAAUAACCAAAAUGUCAGUAAUUAAUGAAUCUGGGGAAUGGGUACAUGGAGGUUCAUUAAAGAAUCUGGAGAGGAGGUAUAUGGAACUUCAUUAGACAAUUCUCUACGAUUCUGUGUAUGUAUGCAACUUUCAUAAUAAAAAGUCUAAAAAGGUCUACUUACAGGUAUACUUUUUAAAUCCUAUCUUCAGUUAAGGCUGACCAUUCUAAACAAAAUUCUGGCAGAUACUUUUCAAAGAAUGUUUUCUUCAUUCUCGACUGAUCAAUUAAACACCAUAGUGAAAUGG
rnacentral:lncRNA from 1 species